rnacentral:rRNA from 1 species
GACGAACGCUGGCGGCGUGCUUAACACAUGCAAGUCGAACGGAAAGGCCCUGCUUUUGUGGGGUGCUCGAGUGGCGAACGGGUGAGUAACACGUGAGUAACCUGCCCUUGACUUUGGGAUAACUUCAGGAAGCUGGGGCUAAUACCGGAUAGGAGCUCCUGCUGCAUGGUGGGGGUUGGAAAGUUUCGGCGGUUGGGGAUGGACUCGCGGCUUAUCAGCUUGUUGGUGGGGUAGUGGCUUACCAAGGCUUUGACGGGUAGCCGGCCUGAGAGGGUGACCGGCCACAUUGGGACUGAGAUACGGCCCAGACUCCUACGGGAGGCAGCAGUGGGGAAUAUUGCACAAUGGGCGGAAGCCUGAUGCAGCAACGCCGCGUGCGGGAUGACGGCCUUCGGGUUGUAAACCGCUUUCGCCUGUGACGAAGCGUGAGUGACGGUAAUGGGUAAAGAAGCACCGGCUAACUACGU